rnacentral:rRNA from 1 species
UCUUCAGAUUUUUAUUUAAGAUCAGGCCUGCCCAUUGAUUUAGAUAUUAAAAGGCUGCGGUAUUUUAACUGUACGAAGGUAGCAUAAUCACUUGUCUUUUAAUUGAAGGCUAGAAUGAAUGGUUCAAUGAGAAAUAAGCUUUCUUUUUUUAAUUAAAAUUAAUUUAAUUUUUUAGUUAAAAAGCUAAAAUUUUUUUAUAGGACGAGAAGACCCUAUAGAAGUUUACUUUAUUAAUAAAUUUGUUUUUUAUGUUUUUAAAAUAUUUUUUUGUUUAUAUAGUUUUGUUGGGGUGACAUUAAAAUAUUUUUAACUUUUAAUUCUUGUUUUCACGAAUUAGUGUAAUUUUUGAUCCAGAAUUUUUGAUUAUAAGUUUAACUUACCUUAGGGAUAACAGCGUAAUUUUUUCGGAGAGAUCUUAUU